rnacentral:rRNA from 1 species
AUUGAACGCUGGCGGCAGGCCUAACACAUGCAAGUCGAACGGUAACAGGAAACAGCUUGCUGUUUCGCUGACGAGUGGCGGACGGGUGAGUAAUGUCUGGGAAACUGCCUGAUGGAGGGGGAUAACUACUGGAAACGGUAGCUAAUACCGCAUAACGUCGCAAGACCAAAGAGGGGGACCCUCGGGCCUCUUGCCAUCGGAUGUGCCCAGAUGGGAUUAGCUUGUUGGUGGGGUAACGGCUCACCAAGGCGACGAUCCCUAGCUGGUCUGAGAGGAUGACCAGCCACACUGGAACUGAGACACGGUCCAGACUCCUAACGGGAGGCAGCAGUGGGAAUAUGCACGAAUGGGCGCAAGCCUGAUGCAGCC